GACGAACGCUGGCGGCGUGCUUAACACAUGCAAGUCGAACGGAAAGGCCCUGCUUUUGUGGGGUGCUCGAGUGGCGAACGGGUGAGUAACACGUGAGUAACCUGCCCUUGUCUUUGGGAUAACUUCAGGAAACUGGGGCUAAUACCGGAUAGGAGCUCCUGCUGCAUGGGGGGGGUUGGAAAGUUUCGGCGGUUGGGGAUGGACUCGCGGCUUAUCAGCUUGUUGGUGGGGUAGUGGCUUACCAAGGCUUUGACGGGUAGCCGGCCUGAGAGGGUGACCGGCCACAUUGGGACUGAGAUACGGCCCAGACUCCUACGGGAGGCAGCAGUGGGGAAUAUUGCGCAAUGGGCGGAAGCCUGAUGCAGCAACGCCGCGUGCGGGAUGACGGCCUUCGGGUUGUAAACCGCUUUCGCCUGUGACGAAGCGUGAGUGACGGUAAUGGGUAAAGAAGCACCGGCUAACUACGUG
rnacentral:rRNA from 1 species